rnacentral:rRNA from 1 species
AGAGCGAACGCUGGCGGCAGGCUUAACACAUGCAAGUCGAGCGGGCGUAGCAAUACGUCAGCGGCAGACGGGUGAGUAACGCGUGGGAACGUACCUUUGGUUCGGAACAACCCAGGGAAACUUGGGCUAAAUACCGGAUAAGCCCUUACGGGGAAAGAUUUAUCGCCGAAAGAUCGGCCCGCGUCUGAUUAGCUAGUUGGUGAGGUAAUGGCUCACCAAGGCGACGAUCAGUAGCUGGUCUGAGAGGAUGAUCAGCCACAUUGGGACUGAGACACGGCCCAAACUCCUACGGGAGGCAGCAGUGGGGAAUAUUGGACAAUGGGCGCAAGCCUGAUCCAGCCAUGCCGCGUGAGUGAUGAAGGCCCUAGGGUUGUAAAGCUCUUUUGUGCGGGAAGAUAAUGACGGUACCGCAAGAAUAAGCCCGGCUAACUUCGCGCCAGCAGCCGC